rnacentral:lncRNA from 1 species
CUCAGCCAGACAGGGCCUCCCUGCCCUCUUGUCUAGCAGGGGUAACAGCUAGAUCUGGCCUCAGAGUUGCCCACUGGCCUCAGCAUGGCCUCCCUGAUGUCCAGUCUCCACAGCCAGCCGAGUAGGCAAGCUGCCCUCUAGUCAUGGUGAAGCCUCGUGCGACAGAGGACUCCCUGCCCGGGUGCCUCGCCCUCUGCAGGGGCUUGCCCCCAUGUGCCCAUGCCACCUUCCUAGGCCAGGCAGGCAGACCCCUGGCUUGGCCAUAGCCUGGCCCUGGCCAGGCCAUCUUUCAGACGUGAUCUGGUGGCCUCCAUCCUGGUGCUAAGGCCCAGAGGUGCCUUGGCCACGGCUGGGGCCAGCCGCACGCGGACAUUACAGGACCUUACGUUGCAGUGGGGCACGAGCAAGGGGCCCGAGGCCCUGGUGCUUCCGACAGGCCCGAGGGCCGUCUGACCUUUCCGGCCACGGGGCAGCGGUUGCGUGAGCAGGAACAAUCGCCCCAGUGUGCGAGGCACAAGCGCCCUUUUCUUCCUCCCCGGGCCGGCGCACACAGCUCCCAGCCUGG